rnacentral:rRNA from 1 species
GUUAUCCGGAUUCAUUGGGUUUAAAGGGUGCGCAGGCGGGCUUGGUAAGUCAGUGGUGAAAAUACCUGCCGCUUAACGGGUAGAAUUGCCAUUGAUACUGCGAGUCUGGAGUAUGGUUGAAGGUCAGCGGGAAUGUGCAGUGUAGCGGUUGAAAUGCAUAGAGAUUGCACAGAACGCCGAUGCCGGAGGCAGCUUACUAAGCCAUAACUGACGCUGAGGCACGAAAGCGUGGGGAGCGAACAGGAUUAGAUACCCUGGUAGUCCACGCUGUAAACGAUGUUCACUCGCUGUUUGCGAUACACAGUGAGCGGCUGAGCGAAAGCAUUAAGUGAACCACCUGGGGAGUACGAUCGCAAGGUUGAAACUCAAAGGAAUUGACGGGGGCCCGCACAAGCGGAGGAACAUGUGGUUUAAUUCGAUGAUACGCGAGGAACCUUACCUGGGCUUAAAUGUAGGCUGCAUGAAGUAGAAAUACUUCUUUCCUUCGGGACUGCCUACAAGGUGCUGCAUGGUUGUCGUCAGCUCGUGCCGUGAGGUGUCGGGUUAAGUCCCAUAACGAGCGCAACCCUUAUCGUUAGUUGCUAGCAGGUAAAGCUGAGGACUCUAGCGAGACUGCCACCGUAAGGUGAGAGGAAGGUGGGGAUGACGUCAAAUCAGCAC